GUGGUCGCUUUGGCAACACAUAUACUAAAAUUGGAAUGAUACAGAAAAAAUUAGCGUGGCCCCUGUGCAAGGAUGAAGUGUAAAUUUGUGAAGAGUUCCAUAAUUUU